UUCAUAUCCUCUUACAUUUUUUCCAUAAUUUCUUGGCCUCUUGUGACCGCUUGGAUAGUCUCCAUUAUCUUCCGCAUUUGGGACCGUACCUGGGAUACUUCUUCCUGAAGGGCAACUUGGUUUUCUUGAAGUUGUUCCAUGACAGCUUGUCGGUGUCCUCGUGUAUCGUACCAGAGAGUCAUUUUUGGAGAGUGGUUUUGGUAAAAAAGGGUGGAUGGAUAAGUUUAUUAUGUUUUUAUGUUUUGAAAGAUGCAAAUGAUGCAUGAAUGUUUU
rnacentral:lncRNA from 1 species